rnacentral:rRNA from 1 species
CAGUCGCCGCGGGAAUACAGAGGGUGCGAGCGUUAAUCGGAUUUACUGGGCGUAAAGCGUGCGUAGGCGGCUUUUUAAGUCGGAUGUGAAAUCCCUGAGCUUAACUUAGGAAUUGCAUUCGAUACUGGGAAGCUAGAGUAUGGGAGAGGAUGGUAGAAUUCCAGGUGUAGCGGUGAAAUGCGUAGAGAUCUGGAGGAAUACCGAUGGCGAAGGCAGCCAUCUGGCCUAACACUGACGCUGAGGUACGAAAGCAUGGGGAGCAAACAGGAUUAGAUACCCCUGUAGUCCCUGUCUCUUAUAC